GACGAACGCUGGCGGCGUGCUUAACACAUGCAAGUCGAACGGAAAGGCCCUGCUUGCCGGGUGCUCGAGUGGCGAACGGGUGAGUAACACGUGGGUGAUCUGCCCCUUACUUUGGGAUAAGCCUGGGAAACUGGGUCUAAUACUGGAUAGGACCAUGCUGUAGGUGGUGUGGUGGAAAGAUUAGUUUCGGUAAGGGAUGAGCUCGCGGCCUAUCAGCUUGUUGGUGGGGUAAUGGCCUACCAAGGCGUCGACGGGUAGCCGGCCUGAGAGGGUGGACGGCCACAUUGGGACUGAGAUACGGCCCAGACUCCUACGGGAGGCAGCAGUGGGGAAUAGUGCACAAUGGGCGCAAGCCUGAUGCAGCGACGCCGCGGGGGGGAUGACGGCCUUCGGGUUGUAAACUCCUUUCAGCCAUGACGAAGCCCUUGUGGUGACGGUAGUGGUAGAAGAAGCACCGGCUAACUACGUG
rnacentral:rRNA from 1 species